rnacentral:rRNA from 1 species
GACGAACGCUGGCGGCGUGCCUAAUACGUGCAAGUCGAGCGAGCGGAACUAACAGAUUUACUUCGGUAAUGACGUUAGGAAAGCGAGCGGCGGAUGGGUGAGUAACACGUGGGGAACCUGCCCCAUAGUCCGGGAUACCACUUGGAAACAGGUGCUAAUACCGGAUAAGAAAGCAGAUCGCAUGAUCAGCUUUUAAAAGGCGGCGUAAGCUGUCGCUAUGGGAUGGCCCCGCGGUGCAUUAGCUAGUUGGUAAGGUAAAGGCUUACCAAGGCGAUGAUGCAUAGCCGAGUUGAGAGACUGAUCGGCCACAUUGGGACUGAGACACGGCCCAAACUCCUACGGGAGGCAGCAGUAGGGAAUCUUCCACAAUGGACGCAAGUCUGAUGGAGCAACGCCGCGUGAGUGAAGAAGGUUUUCGGAUCGUAAAGCUCUGUUGUUGGUGAAGAAGGAUAGAGGUAGUAACUGGCCUUUAUUUGACGGUAAUCAACCAGAAAGUCACGGCUAACUACGUGCCAGCAGCCGCGGUAAUACGUAGGUGGCAAGCGUUGUCCGGAUUUAUGGGCGUAAAGCGAGCGCAGGCGGAAGAUAAGUCUGAUGUGAAAGCCCUCGGCUUAACCGAGGAACUGCAUCGGAAACUGUUUUUCUUGAGUGCAGAAGAGGAGAGUGGAACUCCAUGUGUAGCGGUGGAAUGCGUAGUUAUAUGGAAGAACACCAGUGGCGAAGGCGGCUCUCUGGUCUGCAACUGACGCUGAGGCUCGAAAGCAUGGGUAGCGAACAGGAUUAGAUACCCUGGUAGUCCAUGCCGUAAACGAUGAGUGCUAAGUGUUGGGAGGUUUCCGCCUCUCAGUGCUGCAGCUAACGCAUUAAGCACUCCGCCUGGGGAGUACGACCGCAAGGUUGAAACUCAAAGGAAUUGACGGGGGCCCGCACAAGCGGUGGAGCAUGUGGUUUAAUUCGAAGCAACGCGAAGAACCUUACCAGGUCUUGACAUCUAGUGCCAUUUGUAGAGAUACAAAGUUCCCUUCGGGGACGCUAAGACAGGUGGUGCAUGGCUGUCGUCAGCUCGUGUCGUGAGAUGUUGGGUUAAGUCCCGCAACGAGCGCAACCCUUGUUAUUAGUUGCCAGCAUUAAGUUGGGCACUCUAAUGAGACUGCCGGUGACAAACCGGAGGAAGGUGGGGAUGACGUCAAGUCAUCAUGCCCCUUAUGACCUGGGCUACACACGUGCUACAAUGGGCAGUACAACGAGAAGCGAGCCUGCGAAGGCAAGCGAAUCUCUGAAAGCUGUUUUCAGUUCGGACUGCAGUCUGCAACUCGACUGCACGAAGCUGGAAUCGCUAGUAAUCGCGGAUCAGCACGCCGCGGUGAAUACGUUCCCGGGCCU